AUUUUAAUAUUAGUAAAUUGUUAAGAUUUAAUUUUAUUUAUUUAUUAAUCAUUAAUUAUAUUAAUAGUAUUUAUUCAUAUAAAGAUUAGAUCCGGAAAAAAUCAUGAUCAAAGGUAUUUCAACAAGUUUACAAUUAAAUUUGAGCUAUGUGGGACAGGUUAUGGACUUAUUUAGCCACUAUUCUGCUGCCACGUGUAGGAUGGUCUUGGAAAGUGUGAUCGUGGUGAUUACCAUAUCAUGUUUGUGGUGAACUGGUGAUUCAAUUGAAGAAUUUGAUGAAGAAAAAAACAGAAAAAACAGGAAUUGAAGAAAAUGAUAAUGUCAGACAAGAAACAGAUUUUGGAUGAGGCUUGUUGUGUGAGCCGUAUGUAUUAUUAAACUUAUCCUCUUUCUCCUUCACAAAUUUUGGUAGUUUCAUUGUCAUAUCUAUAGGUCCAACUCAGAGAAAAUUCCAAAAUAAAAUGCUUUAUAUUGUAGUAGCAUUGGAAGCUCUUCAAAAUUUAAUUUUUUUUACGUAAAUUAAAUCAGUAUUCUUGUUGGCAUGCUGUUGUGAGCUCUUUAUCAAGUUUCUGUUAAACUGUAUUUUUAAAUUUACAUAUGGUUCCAAGAUUGAAUAGAAAACAUAAAAUAUGUUAUGGGCACAUCAUCCUCUUGAAUUUGUAAAACAAAAAAGUUAACCAACCAAUCAUCAAUGUGAUUGAGGUAAAAUUUUGGGAUUAUAAUAUAAUAAUGGGGCGGAAUUAGGUACAAGCCUAGGCUGAAAAAUAAGCUAAAACAAAAUAAUGAGUCUGACUUUAAAUUUUACUUUGGUUCUUCUUCUUCUUCUUUUUUUUUUUUUUUUUUUUUUGGGGGGGGGGAGCUAAUGUUCAUAUUUAUUUUACUACGGCCAAGGGCCCAAGGCCAAAAAAGGGCCGAAAUCUCUUGAGGUUCAUAUCAUUGAGGCAAAUUGUGCCCAAAGAAUAGAACAUUCAUUUUUAAACCUAUUAAUUUAGGGCUCCUUCGUUUUCAUGUCCGAAGUCUUAGUUUGGUGUAAUUUAAGAUAUUUAAAAAUUUGAACUUGCUUAAUAUAUUUAUGCAACACUUUCAAGGACAAAAAUGUAAAAGUAUUAGAUUUAAUAUGUUUUGAGUUUAUAAAAAUAAAUAACUCAACACUCAUACUCAUACAUAAGAGAAUGAAAAAUAAAUAUAUUAUUCAGACUCAUUCAUACUUCUGUAAUAUUUAGACUCAUUCAAAUUUCAAGAAAAAAGCAAAUGCUACCUUUGCCUUAGUGUUAGGUGUUGUGCAAAUUUUAAUGUACUCGCAAGUGCACGAAUCUAUUGUAGUAUAGACUAAUGGUGACGAGUGUCGAUCCCACGAGGAGGUAGAUUUUAAUUAUAUAUAGAAUUAAUUUUGUAAAUGGGUGGUUGGAUUUGUGGUGGAAGUGAUUUAAAUUAUCCUAAAAUUGGAAUUGAGAUUCUAAAAUUGGAAUUGCAAUGGCGAGAAUAAAUUGAAGCGAAAUUUAUUGAAAUGACGUACUUGGGUAUCUGGAUCCGUAUCAACAUGCAUCAUGGGCUAAAUAAUCCUUAUUAAUGCCAAUUAAAUCAUGAGGGGGGAAUCCACACCUCAUGAACCACACUCUAAUCAAUAUGGUGCUAAGGGUUUAUCAUGCCAAAUAAUAAUAACCUUAUACUAGAGAGUCAGUGUAACCAAGGCGGUAUCUAGACAAGAUUAUUAUUAUUUGUCGACGAGAAGUCAAAACAUCCACAAAAACUAGAGGGGAAGAGAAAAUAAAUUUACCAAAUUAAGCUCAUGACACAUGUGGAGACUUCACCUUCAACCCAAGCUUGAAAGAAAAUUAGCCACUCAUAGUUGAACUAGGGGCAAAAUGAGAAUUUAUUAAAAUACGAAGAAAAUACAAGAUGGAGAAGGAAUUACAGAAAAUGGAUCCCAAAAAUGGAUUCAGAGGUAUCAAAUUAGGGGGGAGAGGCCCCCUUUUUAUAGAUACAUGGAGUAAAUCAUGGCCAUCGGAUUAAAAACAGUUUGGACGCUCAGGAUUGCGCCACGUCAUCAGUCAACAGUCCACGGUUUGACCACACGGAUGAACAGUAACACGGUUUGACCCGACUUUGAACAGUAACGCGGUUUGAUUGAAAAUAAUCAUGUGUGAUGCAUGCACCGUAUGGGAGAUUUUUCGUCCACUGAUAUGCUGCCACAUCACCAUCAACAGUAUAUAAGAAUUUUAGUCCAACAGGAUCGUGACACCUCAUCAGUCAAUGCCACGUCAUCGGUCCGUCUAUGUGAACAGUGUCGUGAACAGUAACGUAUACAGUACCGUACACGUGAAUAGUACCGUACAUGUGAACAGUUCCAUUUUUCCUUUUAUGCUCCUCCUAAGGUUUUCGACCGUCCUGAGUUCAAAAGUGAUGUCCGUUUUGCCAUCCGAUUUCUCGUUUAUUGUGAAAUGACUAUAAUGCCCCUAAAAUACAUAAAAUACUUAAUUAAAAUAAUACACAUGUAAUUAAAUCACAAGUAGGUUAAAUACAUAAAAGUAAGGGUUGUUAGUAAGACUUGAAAUGUAAAAUGACGGUUUUCUCCUUUAUAAAUAUGCAUUUUCUAACACUCAACAUUAGGACUCAUUAAGGAUUAAUGUUAAAAGGUUUGAAAAGUAAAAAGUAAAAAGCUAAUUUACUGCUUAGUAAUUUCUUUUAAAAAAAAUUGAUAAAACCAUCUCAUUUUACAAUAUAUUUUAAGACAUAGAGAAAAGCAGACUUUUCAAAAUCUAAUUCUGAGAAUUAGUUUUAUCUUUAAUAUAAUUUUACAUAUAUCCCCACAUAAUUACAUAAACUCAAAAUUAUCCUCAUUUAAUUAAGAAAUAAAAUCAAUAAAUUGACACAUAUCAUUAUUAGUUUGAAUAUUGUAGUAAAUAUAUUUUUAAAAUUCAUGUUAGUAUUUGAUAGAAAUCAUUAUCAAUUAUUUUGAGGUAACAAAAUAAAAGAAAUAAAUUAAUAAAGUACAAUUUUUUUUCUCUGUUACCAAUUAUCAUUGUAUAUUCACAAUAAAUAAUAUGUGUAGGUAAAUUUCAUUCAACGUUAUGUUUUAUUUUAGUCACUUGCAUUGUUGUAAACUUUAUUCAAUAUUAUAUCUAUUUUGGUCAUAUGCAUUAUUACAACUAAACACAUAUAUUUUUAUAACAAAAAUUUACUAAAUGUUUAACAUAUUUACUUGACAACUAGUUAAUUUUACAUCACAACUAAAAAGUAUGGGUUAGUUGGUAAUGAUGUAGCUUUUAAAAUAAUUGUUGUUGAGUUGUGCAAUUAUACUGUAUAAGUAAUCAGUUGUGAAAAUAAUCAAUUAAACGUUUAGUGAAAUUUAUUUUUAAAAAAGGGAUAAAAGCUCAUUUAGUCCCUACAUUUUAAGAUUAGUAUCAAUUUAGUCCCU
rnacentral:lncRNA from 1 species